UUUAGCUUUCAUUAUGAAAUUCCAUAUUCUUUAUAUCACCUUUUCAAACAUAAAUAUUUUGAUCAUUCUGUAGGCAUGUCAAGGGCACAGUAGCACCUGCUGAUUGAUCUGUUUUAAGAGCACUUAAAUGGCUUUUUGGAAAGCCAAAUUUUGAUUUGCAUGAACAUUACCGGUAACAAAAUCAAAAUGUGGCUUGAAAAAAGCCAUUUAAGUGUUUUUAAAACACAUUGGUCAGCAGGCACUAAUGUGCAUUUAAACAGGAAUAAAACUAAUUAUAAGUCUUCUUUACUUCUUUAGGUUUGGGGAUUGGUGUUGCAAGUGAUGACCGAAGGCAAAUUGCUCCUAACAUAACCCCUGUCCCUCCUCCUUCAGUCAAAGAACUUGUUGAAACCCAUCAGUCUAGAUUCAACUGAUCACUGUAGACAAGUGUCUGGCACUUAAAACAAAGUGCUCUGGUUAGGUGGAGCUUGUA